rnacentral:lncRNA from 1 species
AGAAGGGGGGUGCGUGAGGGGAGAGAGAGACCGAGAGUGAGAGAGAGUGAGGGAGAAAGAGAGAGAGUGAGAGAGAUUGAGAGAGAGUCGAGAGUGAGAGAGAGUGAGAGAGAUUGAGAGAGAGUCGAGAGUGAGAGAGAGUGAGAUAUAGAAAAUAUAUACAUAUAUGCUUGACUACUAUACAUCACUAAUUUAGUGUGUAGGAAUAUAUCCCACGGAAAUAUAUUUAUUUUCGU